rnacentral:lncRNA from 1 species
UCUGCCCUCCGGCCUCUGGUGAAGCCCAAGAUCGUCAAAAAGAGGACCAAGAAGUUCAUCAGGCACCAGCCAGACCGAUUCGUGAAAAUUAAGUAAAACUGGCAGAAACCCAGAGUCAUCGAUAACAGGGUGCGAAGAAGAUUCAAGGGCCAGAUCCUGAGGCCCAACAUUGGUCACCGGAGCAACAAGAAAACCAAGCACGUGCUGCCUAGCGGCUUCCGGAAGUUUCUGGUCCACAAUGUCAAGGAGCUGGAAGUGCGGCUGUGUAACAAAUCUUACUGUGCUGAGGUUGUUUGCAGCGUGUCCUCUAAGAACCGAGGAGCCAUCGUAGAAUGAGCAGCACAGCUGGCCAUCAGAGUCACCAAUCCCAUCGCCAGGCUACGCAGUGGAGAAAAUGAA